GGGGAUGAUCGGUUUCGACGGUGUAAGUCGCGACAGAUGAAGCGGGCCGAGGACGCAAAGUUAUCUCGUAAACGCUCUUUGCAAAACAAUAAGUGCCGAAUCUAAGCGCACUGACUUCGCUCUCGCUGCCUAAGCAGCCAGACAGUCCGUUAGCCAGGGGAUGCUAUCGCCCCUGUUCCUAACGUCAUUUAGAUAGCCACUGUAUCCGGCAGUUGUUGCCGCUGUUGGGUACAUAUCUCGGCAACUGUGCCCGGACCAGCCACUUGUUUGCGUGAUGGCUGGGGCAGAGAAAUUCCGCAGCAAACUGCGCCCGGAGAAGACCUGGCAACACUACAUCGGACGGGAGUUCAAUUCUCCCCAUCUCCACCA
rnacentral:tmRNA from 1 species